rnacentral:rRNA from 1 species
CCUACGGGCGGCUGCAGUGGGGAAUAUUGGACAAUGGGCGAAAGCCUGAUCCAGCCAUGCCGCGUGUGUGAAGAAGGCCUUCGGGUUGUAAAGCACUUUCAGUGGGGAAGAAAGCCUUGGGGCUAAUACCCUCGAGGAAGGACAUCACCCACAGAAGAAGCACCGGCUAACUCCGUGCCAGCAGCCGCGGUAAUACGGAGGGUGCGAGCGUUAAUCGGAAUUACUGGGCGUAAAGCGCGCGUAGGCGGUCUGAUAAGCCGGUUGUGAAAGCCCCGGGCUCAACCUGGGAAUGGCAUCCGGAACUGUCAGGCUCGAGUGCAGGAGAGGAAGGUAGAAUUCCCGGUGUAGCGGUGAAAUGCGUAGAGAUCGGGAGGAAUACCAGUGGCGAAGGCGGCCUUCUGGACUGACACUGACGCUGAGGUGCGAAAGCGUGGGUAGCAAACAGGAUUAGAUACCCCUGUAGUC